rnacentral:rRNA from 1 species
CCUACGGGCGGCAGCAGUGGGGAAUAUUGGGCAAUGGGCGUAAGCCUGACCCAGCAACGCCGCGUGAAGGAAGAAGGCUUUCGGGUUGUAAACUUCUUUUUAUAGGGAAGAGCAGAAGACGGUACCUCUUGAAUAAUCCAUGGCUAACUACUUGCCAGCAGCCGCUGGAAUACGGAGGUGGCAAGCGUUGUCCGGAUUUACUGGGUGUAAAGGGCGUGUAGCCGGGAAGACAAGUCAGAUGUGAAAUCCCGCGGCUCAACCGCGGAACUGCAUUUGAAACUGUUUUUCUUGAGUGCCGGGAAGGUAAUCGGAAUUCCUUGUGUAGCGGUGAAAUGCGUAGAUAUUAGGAGGAACACCAGUGGCGAAGGCGGCUUACUGGACUGUAAAUGACGCUGAGGCUCGAAAGCGCGGGGAGCAAACAGGAUUAGAUACCCUUGUAGUC